UAGCCAGACUCCUACGGGAGGCAGCAGUGGGGGAUAUUGCACAAUGGGGGAAACCCUGAUGCAGCGACGCCGCGUGAGUGAAGAAGUAUUUCGGUAUGUAAAGCUCUAUCAGCAGGGAAGAAGAUGACAGUACCUGAGUAAGAAGCCCCGGCUAACUACGUGCCAGCAGCCGCGGUAAUACGUAGGGGGCAAGCGUUAUCCGGAUUUACUGGGUGUAAAGGGAGCGUAGACGGAUGGAUAAGUCUGAAGUGAAAGCCCGCGGCUCAACUGCGGGACUGCAUUUGAAACUGUCAGGCUGGAGUGCAGGAGAGGUAAGUGGAAUUCCUAGUGUAGCGGUGAAAUGCGUAGAUAUUAGGAGGAACACCAGUGGCGAAGGCGGCUUACUGGACUGUAACUGACGUUGAGGCUCGAAAGCGUGGGGAGCAAACAGGAUUAGAUACCCGUGUAAC
rnacentral:rRNA from 1 species